CCAAACCUAGUUACCCUGUAUCAACAAAUUAGAGAACUUCCAUUGAAAUUUUUCUCAUUGCUGCCUUUGGAAAAAAGCCCCUCCGAUUGCCGGCCCAAAAAUUUGUCGGCGUUGUAGAGAACCCUAAUCGAAUGAGAGCAACGGCAACAUCUGCUAUUGUAAGCUCUUUAUUUCUUCCUUCGUUCCAAUUUUUAGAUGUUUGUGAAGUGUUUUUAGAAAGGGGAAGAAUAUCUGAUUUAAAUGUGUAUGUAAUUGCAUUUCUUUGAUGUAUUGUGACUUGGGAGAAAUAACUAUAUUCUAUUGGAGGGUUUUUUACCCAGAGAUAUUUCGAGAGGUCAAAACGAGGAGAACAAAGCAACAAUUCAGUACACUUAGAUUAUUAAUUUACUAUUAAGUAAUGGUUUUUUCGAUCAUUUACUGAAAGUUCAUAAUCUUGCAG
rnacentral:lncRNA from 1 species